rnacentral:rRNA from 1 species
GAGUUUGAUCAUGGCUCAGAUUGAACGCUGGCGGCAUGCCUUACACAUGCAAGUCGAACGGCAGCACGGGAGCUUGCUCCUGGUGGCGAGUGGCGAACGGGUGAGUAAUGCAUCGGAACGUAUCCUGGAGUGGGGGAUAACGUAGCGAAAGUUACGCUAAUACCGCAUAUUCUGUGAGCAGGAAAGCGGGGGACCUUCGGGCCUCGCGCUCUUGGAGCGGCCGAUGUCGGAUUAGCUAGUUGGUGAGGUAAAGGCUCACCAAGGCGACGAUCCGUAGCAGGUCUGAGAGGAUGAUCUGCCACACUGGAACUGAGACACGGUCCAGACUCCUACGGGAGGCAGCAGUGGGAAUUUUGGACAAUGGGGCAACCCUGAUCCAGCCAUGCCGCGUGAGUGAAGAA